UGAAGAGAGCAAGGCAGAGAUGCUUCUGGUCAUGAUUCUGAGAUCAGUCACCUGCCUGCUUCAUGUAUAGUAAGAGUUCCAGACACUGCUGGAAGCACAGAUGGACAAGAUGGCACCUGCACUGCUUCUGGUAUACGUGACCCAUUUACCCAGAAGAGAAAUUAUCCAUGCGGCAUGCUGGUUUAACAUUUCAAUCAACAAACAACAACUCCACCACCCAGCUUGAGGAGUGAGAUCUUCACUCUAACUGUUCUCAGCACAGUCUCCUGGUGCAAAGCUGGACUAAGAAUUUUAAUAUUACACUUUGCACUUCUUUUGUUCAAUGGUAAGACCCAAAAUAAACCUUUCUGCCUAGGUAUGAACAUCUGUUUUGCUUCAACAAAAGUAUUCUCUGUCAACACAAACUCCCUGACCUCCAUGCUUAGAGCUGCGUAAAAGUCAACUUCUUCUGAGCCACUUGUUAAAACUUGUAAAUGAACUGAUUUUUCUGCAGUUGUGAUUUAUCAGUUACAUCAGCACUAUCAUUUCUUGCCCACUGGCAGAGGAGUUAUAGUUGCAGAUGGGAGUCAUAUCGGGCAUUCUGUAUGACUUCCUUGUCAACUCACUUCUUUCCAUGUGGAAAGAGACAGGUGUACACUAGAGCUUUCAAAAUCUAUUUAGAGACCCAGCAUCUAGCAGAAAAUAAUUUUUUCUAUAUAGCACUUUGUUGUUUUUACCCACUAUUGUGCAGUGCAUGCAUUGUACCUGCAUUACCUUACUUAAUCUUCAUGGUAAUUCUCUAAGGUACAAGGAGAUUAAAAAUGACUUGGGCAAGGACAUUACAAACUGGAGAGCCAGGACUUGAACCUCGGUAAUCUGACACCAAAGUUCUUAUUCCUAACCACUUCAUUUAUACUGAUACUGUAAGAAUUUCCUUUCUAUAACUAAAAUUUUGUAUUAAAUUUUUUAUAUUUAUUAGAAGAAUAAAUUCUAAAAAUAUAAAAACUAACUCUUGGCCAAUAUGGAAGCAUUUUAUUAGUGUACUGAAGAUAGAGUUUGAGAUCAGAGGCAGGUACAUUACUUCUAAUUUACAAGUUGGUACAUGGGAGCAGAAAAUGUGGUAAUAAGAGUUUUUGUGCCUUUUUAGACAUUCAGCCCAUUUUUUCACCAGAUAAUUGGUAAGAUGCAUAUUCUGUAGUGUUACAGCUUACCCACCAUAGAAAAAAUGUUCUGUAGAGCUAUUUAAGUAGAUGUGAUGAGGGUUUGUUUUAAGUAAAGGGUGAAUGUGACUUUCAUUAUUCUCUGUGAUAUAUAAACAUGAAUCAGUAAAGGUUUCUCUUGAAACUUGUUCAAGAA
rnacentral:lncRNA from 1 species